rnacentral:rRNA from 1 species
CCUACGGGGGGCAGCAGUAAGGGAUAUUGGACAAUGGGGGAAACCCUGAACCAGCAACGCCGCGUGAGGGAAGAAGGUUUUCGGAAUGUAAACCUCUGUCAGCAGGGAAGAAGAUGACGGUAGCAGAGGAGGAAGCGCCGGCUAACGACGUGCCAGCAGCCGCGGGAAUACGUAGGGAGCGAGCGUUGUCCGGAUUUACUGGGUGUAACGGGGGCGGAGGCGGCUUGGCAAGUCAGAAGUGAAAUCCCAGGGCUUAACCCUUGAACUGCUUUUGAAACUGUGGAGCUGGAGUGAAGUAGAGGUAGGCGUCAUUCCCUGUGUAGCGGUGCACUGCGUAGUUAUCGGGAGGAACCCCAGUGGCGAAGGCGGCCUACUGGGCUUUAACUGCCGCUGCGGCUCGAAAGCGUGGGUAGCAAACAGGAUUAGCUACCCCUGUAGUC